rnacentral:rRNA from 1 species
AUUAAAAUGUUAUUUAUAAUAUAUUUUUGUUUCAAUAUAAUUGAAAAAUCAUUAAUUUUAAGUAUUUUUUAUGGAAAAAAUUUUUAUUAAUUAUAGUUAAUAAUUACUGUGAAGGAAUUAAUUUAAUUUAAAUAAAGUAAGUUUAAUAUAUUGUACCUUUUGUAUCAGGGUUUAUCAAAUUUAAAUCAAUUAAAUUGAUUUUCCCGAAAUUAAGAGAGAUAAUUUUAAUAUAUAAUAUUAUGUUAUAGAAUAAUUUAUAAUUUAAAAUUAGAGGUUAUAUGCUAUUCAAUCUUAAAUAUCUGGUUUUUUAAUAAUUUAAUUUAAUUAAUAUUUAAUAGAGUAAUUUUAAAAUUUAAUUUUAUUAUUAUCUAUUAAAUAAAUAUUCUUAGGGAUAAGCUUGAGAAUAAAAUUUAUAACUGUUAUAAUAUUAUAAAUUAUAUAAGGCUUAAAAACAGCCGUUAUAUUUCGUUAUAGAAAAGGUUUUUUUAUUAUUUAUUUCUUUAAAGUUUAAAUUUUUAUUAAAAUUUAAUUUUUUAUAUUAUAAAAUUAGUAAAAAUGGUAAAAUUAGUAGUAUUUUAACGUUAAAUUUAAGAAUUCGGCAAUUUAGGUUUUCGCCUGUUUAACAAAAACAUGUCCUAUUGAUUAUUUAUAUUAGGUCUGACCUGCUCUAUGAUUUUAUUAAAUGGCCGCAGUAUUUUAACUGUGCAAAGGUAGCAUAAUCAUUUGUCUUUUAAUUGAAGACUAGAAUGAAUGGUUUGACGAGAAACCAACUUUUUUAAUUUAAUUUUAUAUAAAUUUAAUUUUUUAGUUAAAAAGCUAAAAUGUAAUUAGAGGACGAGAAGACCCUAUAGAAUUUUAUUUUUUAUUUAUUUAUUUAUAUUGUGAUUAUGAUUUAUUUGAUUAGAUAAAAAAUUUUGUUGGGGUGACAUUAAGAUUUAAUUAACUCUUAAUUUAUGUUUUACAUUUAUUUAUGUUGAUAUUUUGUUCCUUUAUUAUGGAAUUAAAAGAUUAAUUUACCUUAGGGAUAACAGCGUGAUUUUUUUAGAGAGUUCAUAUCGAUGAAUAUAUAAGUUUGCGACCUCGAUGUUGGAUUAAAGUUAGAUUUUGGUGCAGUAGCUAAUUGUCUAGGUCUGUUCGACCUUUUAAGCUUUACAUGAUCUGAGUUCAGACCGGCGUGAGCCAGGUUGGUUUCUAUCCUUAACAUAAAUAGAAUAUUUUAGUACGAAAGGACCAAAUAUUUAUAUUAAAUAUUCAAUUUUGAAUCUAUUAU